GACGAACGCUGGCGGCGUGCUUAACACAUGCAAGUCGAACGGUGAAGCGCCUUCCUUUUUGGUGGGUGUGGAUGAGUGGCGAACGGGUGAGUAACACGUGAGUAACCUGCCCCCUUCUUCUGGAUAACCGCAUGAAAGUGUGGCUAAUACGGGAUAUUCUGGGUCUGUCGCAUGAUGGGUCUGGGAAAGAUAUUGUUUCGGUGGGGGAUGGGCUCGCGGCCUAUCAGCUUGUUGGUGGGGUGAUGGCCUACCAAGGCGGUGACGGGUAGCCGGCCUGAGAGGGUGGACGGUCACACUGGGACUGAGACGCGGCCCAGACUCCUACGGGAGGCAGCAGGGGGGAAUAUUGCACAAUGGGCGCAAGCCUGAUGCAGCGACGCCGCGGGAGGGAUGGAGGCCUUCGGGUUGUGAACCUCUUUCGCCAGUGAAGCAGGCCUGCCUCGUUUGUGGGUGGGUUGACGGUAGCUGGAUAAGAAGCGCCGGCUAACUACGUG
rnacentral:rRNA from 1 species